rnacentral:rRNA from 1 species
UACGUAGGGUGCGAGCGUUAAUCGGAAUUACUGGGCGUAAAGCGUGCGCAGGCGGUUUUGUAAGCCAGAUGUGAAAUCCCCGGGCUCAACCUGGGAAUGGCAUUUGGGACUGCAAGGCUUGAGUGCGGCAGAGGAGACUGGAAUUCCAGGUGUAGCGGUGAAAUGCGUAGAUAUCUGGAGGAACACCGGUGGCGAAGGCGGCAUCCUGGACCGGCAUUGACGCUGAGGCGCGAAAGCCAGGGGAGCAAACGGG